GACGAGGGGGGCUAGCGUUGUUCGGAAUUACUGGGUGUAAAGCGCGUGUAGGCGGUUGCCCAAGUCGGGUGUGAAAGCCUUGAGCUCAACUCAAGAAAUGCACUCGGUACUGGGUGACUAGAGGACCGGAGAGGAUAGUGGAAUUCCCAGUGUAGUGGUGAAAUACGUAGAGAUUGGGAAGAACACCAGUGGCGAAGGCGGCUAUCUGGACGGUUUCUGACGCUAAGACGCGAAAGCGUGGGGAGCAAACAGG
rnacentral:rRNA from 1 species